rnacentral:rRNA from 1 species
AACAAACGCUGGCGGCGUGCCUAACACACGCAAGUCGUACGAGAAAGGGUCCUUCGGGGCCUGAGUAAAGUGGCGCACGGGCGAGUAACGCGUGGAUAAUCUGCCCUUCAGUUGGGAAUAACUCAUCGAAAGGUGGGCUAAUACCGAAUAAUGCUGUGAGACCUCGGUUGAUCAGCCAAAGAGAGCCUCUGCUUGCAAGCCCUCGCUGAAGGAUGGGUCCGCGUACCAUUAGCUAGUUGGUAGGGUAAUGGCCUACCAAGGCGACGAUGGUUAGCUGGUCUGAGAGGAUGAUCAGCCACACUGGAACUGAGACACGGUCCAGACUCCUACGGGAGGCAGCAGUGAGGAAUCUUGCGCAAUGGGGGCAACCCUGACGCAGCAACGCCGCGUGAGUGAGGAAGGUCUUCGGAUCGUAAAGCUCUGUCGGAUGGAAAGAACCGCAUAGGGGUAAACAGCCCCUGUGUCUGACGGUACCAUCAAAGGAAGCACCGGCUAACUCCGUGCCAGCAGCCGCAGUAACAC